rnacentral:rRNA from 1 species
GACGAACCACACGAACGUUAUUCGGAACUACUGGGCUUAAAGGGUGCGUAGGCUGUGCGGAAAGUUAGGUGUGAAAUCCCCCGGCUCAACCGGGGAAUUGCGCUUAAAACUACCGUGCUAGAGGAAUACAGAGGUGAGCGGAACUUCGGGUGGAGCGGUGAAAUGCGUUGAUAUCCGAAGGAACACCGGUGGCGAAAGCGGCUCACUGGGUAUUUUCUGACGCUGAUGCACGAAAGCUAGGGGAGCAAACGGG